AGUGAACGCUGGCGGUAGGCCUAACACAUGCAAGUCGAACGGCAGCACAGUAAGAGCUUGCUCUUACGGGUGGCGAGUGGCGGACGGGUGAGGAAUACAUCGGAAUCUACUUUUUCGUGGGGGAUAACGUAGGGAAACUUACGCUAAUACCGCAUACGACCUACGGGUGAGAGCAGGGGAUCUUCGGACCUUGCGCGAUUGAAUGAGCCGAUGUCGGAUUAGCUAGUUGGCGGGGUAAAGGCCCACCAAGGCGACGAUCCGUAGCUGGUCUGAGAGGAUGAUCAGCCACACUGGAACUGAGACACGGUCCAGACUCCGACGGGAGGCAGCAGUGGGGAAUAUUGGACAAUGGGCGCAAGCCUGAUCCAGCCAUACCGCGUGGGUGAAGAAGGCCUUCGGGUUGUAAAGCCGUUUUGUUGGGAAAGAAAAGCAGCAGGUUAAUACCCCGCUGUUCUGACGGUACCCAAAGAAUAAGCACCGGCUAACUUCGUG
rnacentral:rRNA from 1 species